rnacentral:lncRNA from 1 species
GUGCAUUGUACGCUGCAGCCAUGAAAGUUUUUACUCUAGAUGCUUAUUUUCUUGGAUGAUCCAAAUGAUGAGAUCCCUGAUUGUUAUGGACACCUGAGAAGUACCCAGACUCAAUAUUCCCAAGGGCUCCUCUACUUCGAAGUUCUUGGUACUUAUCUUCUCUGCUUCUAUUUUCUUAUGUUUAUCAUGACACUUAAUUAUGUUUGGUUAGAUGCAUGUUUGUAGAUCACAUGGUGACCGUGAGGGGGAUUGAAUUGGUAAUUUUGAAGUAUGGUUUCGUCCUUCCCUUGUG